GAUGAAGAACGCAGCGAAAUGCGAUAAUUAAUGUGAAUUGCAGAAUUUAGUGAAUCAUCGAAUCUUUGAACGCACAUUGCGCCCCAUGGUAUUCCGUGGGGCAUGCCUGUUCGAGCGUCAUUUACCCCCUCAAGCUCCGCUUGGUGUUGGGCGUCUGUCCCGCUUCGCGCGCGGACUCGCCCCAAAGGUAUUGGCAGCGGUCGUGCCAGCUUCUCGCGCAGCACAUUGCGCUUCUCGAGGCACCGGUGGGCCCGCGUCCAUCAAGCUCACCCCCCCAGUUUGACCUCGGAUCAGGUAGGGAUACCCGCUGAACUUAAGCAUAUCAAUAAGCGGAGGA
rnacentral:misc_RNA from 1 species